rnacentral:rRNA from 1 species
GGUAACCUACCUAUAAGACUGGGAUAACUUCGGGAAACCGGAGCUAAUACCGGAUAAUAUUUCGAACCGCAUGGUUCGAUAGUGAAAGAUGGCUUUGCUAUCACUUAUAGAUGGACCUGCGCCGUAUUAGCUAGUUGGUAAGGUAACGGCUUACCAAGGCAACGAUACGUAGCCGACCUGAGAGGGUGAUCGGCCACACUGGAACUGAGACACGGUCCAG